ACUCGUAGUUAUGGUGACGUCACCAGUAAAUUAUGCAAAUUAGUACCAAAGAAGGUUAGAACCUUCCUUUGGUAAUGUGUUCCGAACUGAGUGAAAUGAACCCUUUGUUACAGACCUAAAGGUUUAGGUUAGGGUAUGCAGGCCAAGUGAUUGGGUAUACCUGCAAGUACUAGCACCAGCACCUUUCAUCAGUAAACCUGAACACCCAGGCUAAGUAUGAGGGACCGGGUUAUCCCAGAAUCAAUCUGAACCUGAGAACGUAAACAUCUAUGCAAAAGUGACCACUGAAGCGGCAGAACUGUGGGAGUCUCAGCAAGUGACUGUGUGUGGCACUGAGCCUGAGCUCAGCCAGCCUGGAGAUGCCCACUUUGCCAAGCAAGAAGAGCCUGCCCUGGGCUUACCUGUAAACCCACACAAACCUGAUCCUGAUGAAGAGCCCUGCCCUGCUCCCAGUGCAAAAAAAAAAAAAACUACACAAGAUUUUGUUUCUGCUUCUUGUGCACUUGCAGAUUUGUUGGCGACACAUUCAGUGUUGAAGUAUCCGGCAGACCAAAAUCUUCUUUUGCAAAAGCAAAGACUGAGGUCCUAAAAUAUAAAGAGGCAGCGCCUUUACCUUUGAAUGAAAAUCGUCUUGGUUGGUGGAAGGCACACAAGGUGGAAUAGCCAUUGUUAGCCAAGUUAGCAAAGUAUUACCUGUGCAUCCCAGGAACAAGUGUCUCUGCUGGAAGAGUGUUCUCCACUGCUGGAGAUGUGGUAACAGCACAGAG